rnacentral:rRNA from 1 species
GAACGCUGGCGGCGUGCCUACACAUGCAAGUCGAGCGGUAACAGGUGUAGCAAUACAUGCUGACGAGCGGCGAACGGGUGAGUAAUGUUUCGGAAUCUGCCCAAUGGUGGGGAAUAACCAGCCGAAAGGUUGGCUAAUACCGCAUAAGUCCUACGGGAGAAAGCGGGGGAUCGCAAGACCUCGCGCCGAUGGAUGAGCCGAAACCGGAUUAGCUAGUUGGUAGGGUAACGGCCUACCAAGGCGACGAUCCGUAGCUGGUCUGAGAGGACGACCAGCCACACUGGGACUGAGACACGGCCCAGACUCCUACGGGAGGCAGCAGUGGGGAAUAUUGGACAAUGGGGGAAACCCUGAUCCAGCGACGCCGCGUGUGUGAAGAAGGCCUGCGGGUUGUAAAGCACUUUUAGUGGGGAUGAAAAGCUCAGGGCUAAUACCGCUGAGUCUUGACCUAACCCAAAGAAAAAGCACCGGCUAACUCUGUGCCAGCAGCCGCGGUAAUACAGAGGGUGCAAGCGUUAAUCGGAAUUACUGGGCGUAAAGCGUGCGUAGACGGUAGCGUAAGUCGGGUGUGAAAGCCCCGGGCUCAACC